GACGAACGCUGGCGGCGUGCCUAAUACAUGCAAGUCGAGCGGACGGAUGGGAGCUUGCUCCCAGACCGUCAGCGGCGGACGGGUGAGUAACACGUGGGCAACCUGCCUGUAAGACUGGGAUAACUCCGGGAAACCGGGGCUAAUACCGGAUAACUUUUUCCCUCACAUGAGGGAAAGCUGAAAGAUGGCAUCUCGCUAUCACUUACAGAUGGGCCCGCGGCGCAUUAGCUAGUUGGUGAGGUAACGGCUCACCAAGGCGACGAUGCGUAGCCGACCUGAGAGGGUGAUCGGCCACACUGGGACUGAGACACGGCCCAGACUCCUACGGGAGGCAGCAGUAGGGAAUCUUCCGCAAUGGACGAAAGUCUGACGGAGCAACGCCGCGUGAGUGAUGAAGGUUUUCGGAUCGUAAAACUCUGUUGUCAGGGAAGAACAAGUACCGGAGUAACUGCCGGUACCUUGACGGUACCUGACCAGAAAGCCACGGCUAACUACGUG
rnacentral:rRNA from 1 species